AGAGUUUGAUUCUGGCUCAGGAUGAACGCUGGCGGCGUGCUUAACACAUGCAAGUCGAACGAAGCAACUAUCUUGCUUGCAAGAGAGUUGACUUAGUGGCGGACGGGUGAGUAACGCGUGGGUAACCUGCCUCAUACAGGGGGAUAACAGUUGGAAACGACUGCUAAGACCGCAUAACCCGCUAGUGUCGCAUGACACGGACGGAAAAUAUUUAUAGGUAUGAGAUGGGCCCGCGUCUGAUUAGCUAGUUGGUAAGGUAACGGCUUACCAAGGCGACGAUCAGUAGCCGACUUGAGAGAGUGAUCGGCCACAUUGGGACUGAGACACGGCCCAAACUCCUACGGGAGGCAGCAGUGGGGAAUAUUGGACAAUGGGGGAAGCCCUGAUCCAGCGAACCGCCGCGUGAGUGAAGAAGUAUUUCGGUAUGUAAAGCUCUAUCAGCAGGGAAGAUAAUGACAGUACCUGACUAAGAAGCCCCGGCUAACUACGUGCCAGCAGCCGC
rnacentral:rRNA from 1 species